GGCUGUUUCUCCCAGAGAGUCGAGACUGAAAAUAAACCGAAUCAAGUUACACAACCAACAGUCAGCCAAGCUUGAAAACACCUUAGAAACACUUUACAGUUAUUUUAGGAGUGUGACUGCAAAAUACUGUCUGACUUUGGUCAAAUUGUUUAGGGCUAUAUUUAUUGAAUGAGCCAUAAACACAAAUAUGAUGCUUUGCUGUUGUGCUGUGUGGGAGUUUGUUUGUUUUUGAUAUCCUGUAUGGUUUUGUUGAGACACGGAGGCAGAUUUUUCUCUUAUCUUCGGACCCUUGUGCUAAAUAAGCUUUGCACCCCUGUGACUUUAGAUUGCUCUUGUUGUCAUGUUGCUGUUUGCUCAUGGAGCUCCUGUCAGUAUGACUGGACGUGUUUCGCUGUUGAAGUAUGCGUAUGCUUGACCAGAGAACUCAAACUUAAAAGUUGUUUUAAAGUUCAAAACUUUAGAGGGCUAAAAAAAAAAAAAAGAGCAUAUAGCACAUCUUAAGUAAACUGCGCUUCUGUAAGCAAAGUUUGUGGUACACUUUUUAUCUGAUGUUUGAGAUAAGUGUAAGUGAAGAGGAUCAAACACCCAGAACUUGAAAGUCGAAUGAAAUCCCAUCAUUAUUAUUAGGUGCAGUCAUACAUUUUAGGGACAGUGGUCAUAAAAAUCAAAAACCUACCUGAUGUAAAUUUGAUGUCUCUCUCCUUCAGUCAUUUCCUUGUGUAUCUGGAGUUUAUGUUUGUUUGUUUGUUUUUUUUAAACAUCGCUGCCUGGAAGGCCCAUUGUGCACAGAGCAAACAUCAACUUAUGUGGCAAAGGAUCAACCCUGGUAAUGAGAGCUGAUUCUGUAGCUACAGCCCGGAGAGACAAAUAGCAGUUUUAAGAUGAUGACUUCAGGUUUCUUAGCAUAUCAGGAUAAAUGCAUGACCUGAAGCAUCCUCUUGUUGUGUUAUUCAUUAACACAACAACUCCAAAUCCAAAAAGUUGAGAUGCGAUGUAAAAACAAAAUGGAAUUUUGACUUUGGUGGUAGCAACACAUCUCAAAAAAGUUGAGAUGUGGUUUCUUUGGGGUUGUGGUUUUUUUUUUUUUUUUAACAGCGCUCUGUAAACAUCUGGGAACAGAGGAGACCAGCUGCUGGACUUUUGUGAGAGGACUUUCCUUCUGUUGUCUGAUGUAGGAUUCUAGCUGCUCAGCAGUUCUGGUUCUUCUUUUCAAAUUGUUUGUUUCAUGAUGCACUAAAUAUUUUAAAGUGAUAAAAGGUCUGGUCUGCAGGCAGGCCGCUUCCCUGAAACAAAAAUGCAAGUCAACACGCUACCAAUUUGACACACUGGAGGAAAAGCUGUGCACUGAGAUGCAGAAAAGAAAGAUGCUCAUGAAGGGGAGGGGGCAAAUUUAACUAGAGGAUUUUUAUAUUAUUUUUUAACACCAUGCUAUGGUAAGGUAUUUUCAUCCAUCUGUUUACAGUUUACAAGAAUCUGCACUUCUAGAGUAUUUUUAAGAUUUUUGUAAAACCUACACACACCAACCAGCUAAAGGGUUUUCACCCAAACUGUCCUCAAGGUCAAGUUUAUAUUUGUCAUUUCACAGCUUUUUUUUUUUUUUCUUUUUGUGACUUUCCUGUCACCAUUCUAUUAGGAUCUGGUCAUAGGGUCAAUGCUGCGACAUGUUGAUGUGUUAAGUGCGUCUCUGUAAUCAUAAUAUUCCUAAACUCAACCACUUUUAUUUGGUGAUAUAUUUAAUUGAUAUGAUUGUUUGCGAGGGUCCUUCUCUUAUUCACACUCAUUGUGAAGUAGAGCCAACCAAUGACAAGAAAACUCAUCAAGUUCUCUGUGUACUUUACACACUGCAGUAACCUGUGAAUUGUGAUGGAUCGUGAGUCAGAUAAGGAAUUACAGCAUCGAUGUUCAGGUUUUGUGGGUGGAGUCCCAGAAUUUAUAACUGCACUUUAUAUUGUCUUUGUAUAUAAGAGAUUAGAGGUCUAAAAAGUGGCAAAAGAAAUGCACGAAGUGCUAAACAGGAUUCGUCUUGUUUUUUCUUGCAGAGUGAAUCUUUCUUUUAAUACUAUUAAGCAAAUAGAUAGGGAAAUGAGGAGUGUGUGUGUGUAUAUGAGCAUAUAGAGCCAUAUAACACUGUUUUUAUUAUCUGUUUAAGAACAGAUGAAUUCAGUAAUAAAAGCAUGUAAACAAAUUAUGCAUGCUUGUCAGAUAUUACAGAAGCAGCAUAUCGUACGACGCUUCCCUUAGUUUAUGUUGAGAUUUAAGUGCUAAUGCAUGAUAUGAAUGAAUUUGUAAAACAUGAAUGUUUUUGUGCUUUUUAGGUUCCAUUGCAGCCGCAUUGUUCAUCGCCUUUUUGCUUGGACUGUAUGCUAUUCUGUGGAAGUGUAUGGUGUCACCGCCACAACGAAAACACAACAAGUUGAGGGUAAGAGUACAUCAGAGAGCUUCUAUGUGAAGACAUGGACGAUAUCUGGCAGCUGUUCUGUUAUCUUGGAUUUUAAAUUUCAUGGACAUUGGCUAAACUAAAUGGAUGAGCCACAUGUGCCUCCUCAGCUUUACGGUCUGCUGGUGGCUUCUGUUUACUUAAAGAGUCAUGGUGACGUUAAACACUGUUUUGGCAGGUCAGUCUGCUUUUUCUGUUUUCUGUGAAUUAUGCACUACUGAGGGAGGCUACAACUCGCUCCAGUGACUAUUGAGCUGCAUGUAAAUGACUCUAAGACAGAGAGAAUAUAGUAUUUUUUUUUUUAGUAUAUGUAGCUAUUUUAGCUUUUUAUUUCUCAACUGUACCAAAUGGAUCUUUAUAUUUUAAGCAUGUGUCCUUAUUUCGUUUUAGCAUUUCUUUAUAAUAUUUUGGAUUUGAUUAUCAGAUCAGAGUAGCAUUCACCAUUUUAUCCUGUUCUGUCACCUAGUGGUGCCUCAGACAAGCUUAUGUGCACAAUUGCUCCUCAGGAUUUUGUAACUACUGUAUGAGUCUAUAAUAAAAGUAUUUUUUACAUUUA